GUGGUGACCUGGGAAUCAAUGUGUGAGGUGGUGCUAUGUAGCAGGAACCCCUCUUGCUUUGCAAAUAGUUUUUUGUUUGUUUUCCUUUUUGCCCAAUAGAGCCCUGCUCUACUGACCCUUCAAUGUGCCCGUGUGCCUAAAUAUUCCUGGUCGUGUGAAAAGAACCCAGUCAAGCUCAACUUGCAGAACUGAUGGGAACCCCUUGGGAAAACUGGCCUCAAAUGUUUGUCUACACAGUCCACAUACAGGGUUCUUAACCUGCGACUGACCCUGCUUGUGCCUGUGAACCAACCAACAAUCUCUGGCUGCAGCUCAGAAAGGACAAAAGAGAAUGGAUGGAGUCUUGUUCUGUGGUCCAGGCUAGAGGGCAGUGGCAUGAUCUCGGCUCACUACAAGCUCUGCCUCCCGGGUUCACGCCAUUCUCCUGCCUCAGCCUCCUGAGUAGCUGGGACUACAGGCGCCCGCCACCACGCCUGGCUAAUUUUUUGUAUAUUUACUAGAGAUGGCUAGUGUUAGCCAAGAUGGUCUCGAUCUCCUGACCUCGUGAUCUGCCCACCUCAGCCUGCCAAAGUGCUGGGAUUACUGGCGUGAGCCACCGUGCCUGGCCAGCAUCCUCUAAUUAUUAUUCAUAGUUUGUGAAUUUAGGCCUACGUGAAUAAUAAUAUAAUAUUUACUAUGAUGUUACUAUCUACCAACCUUAUUUUUCUUUUCUAUAAAAUAGGAGCCAAAAUAA
ensembl:lncRNA PURPL p53 upregulated regulator of p53 levels